CACGGUUUCAAAUUGUUUCCUUCCUAAUCUUGGGUUCCAAUUGAUUCUUUCCAUAUUUCUUGAAUCCUAUUGAUUAUUUCCUAAAACCAUAUGGCUCCAACAAGAUUUCUUUCCAAAACCCAAGAUUGCCAAAUUCUUGCCAAAUUUCGAGACACGUAUUUAACACAUUAAAUAUGGAUUAAUCAUUUCCUUCCAUAUAUUUAUAUAACUAAUGGCCAGCGUAGAACUUUGUAUUUUUAUUUCUUCUCCUAAAAAUGUAUUACUACUUCAUUUUAUCCAAUUUUUUCUUUCUUUUACGGGCUUUCCCAUUUUCAGGCACUUGAACGGCUUUCCUUUGGUGGCAGUCGGAUUAGAGAUACAGUGAUUGCUCAAAGUAGAAUACUUUUGUUUUGGUAUUACACUACUUUCCUUCUCCUGGAGAAAAAUAAACCCAAGUACCAGCAACUUCAGCCGCCACCAGGUGAUCAAAUAGAAACAACUACAAAGCUUGAGCCUCUUGAAACUGAUCCUGCAGAACCAUAUGAGCAACCUGAAUCUCCCCUUCUUGACCAAGGUAAACCCAACCAGCAGCUUGACUCUUCUCCUCCAUCUGAUCCACUUAGUCUGUUUAACCUUGAAGGUUUGUAAUUACAUGGACAGCUGAUGAUGUUAAUUACUGUGACAUACAAUGUUAUAUUUUCUAUUUUUGUAAUGAAUAAUAUUUUAAUUUGGGGUGGGGGAAUGCAAUUUCCUGGUGAGUUUGAUUUGGCGAAGCUGCGUAAUUUUAAUCGCUGCAUUGGCGAACAUUUCUAUGGGUCGUGCUUCUGAGCAGUACGCAUAAUCUAUUGGUUUUUGGAUUAAAGAAAAAAGAAAGUCGG
rnacentral:lncRNA from 1 species